rnacentral:lncRNA from 1 species
GUCGUGGCAGAAAGUGUGAAUGCUCGUAAAUUAUUACCGGAGGAUCCUUCUACUACCGGAGGCUCCUUUGGCUCAGUUAUGCCGGGUUAGGAGUGACCGUGAGAACCCAGCAUCCGGAACGAGGCCAGGAACACGGACGACUUUAGCGAGCAAGCCAUUGUGUCUGUUGAUGGACACAGGAGAAUAAAGACUAGGCGAGUGCUGCGCUGGUCGGCUGGUUUCAGAAGGGCCAGAAAUUCAAGUUCUGGAAACGUUAACUAAACUCAAGCCUCUGAGCAUGCGCGCUGGGCUCUCCAGCAGAGUCUUGGGAUUCUGGCCGGAAGCAGCACAUAGGUGCCUCGUUA